rnacentral:rRNA from 1 species
GAUGAACGCUGGCGGCGUGCUUAACACAUGCAAGUCGAACGGAAAGGCUCCUGCUUGCAGGGGUACUCGAGUGGCGAACGGGUGAGUAACACGUGGGUGAUCUGCCCUGCACUUCGGGAUAAGCCUGGGAAACUGGGUCUAAUACCGGAUAGGACCACAUUUUGGAUGGUGUGGUGGAAAGUUUUUCGGUGUGGGAUGAGCUCGCGGCCUAUCAGCUUGUUGGUGGGGUAAUGGCCUACCAAGGCGUCGACGGGUAGCCGGCCUGAGAGGGUGUACGGCCAGGGGGGGGGGCGGCGGGCAAGGUGAGGCGGGAGCGAGUGCCCAGCCUCCUCCGAGAGGGAGGAGGGAGGAUUAUGGCAGACGGGGCGGGGGCAGGAGGCAGUGAGGCCGGGGGGGGGGUGCGGGCUUGCGGGUUGUAUCCUGCUGUCGCUAGGGACGAAGCGUUUUUGUGGGGGUGCGGGGAGAAGAAGCAACAGCUAACUACGGGCCAGCAGCCGGAAAAAAAUCGGAAGAGCACACGAACGACC